rnacentral:misc_RNA from 1 species
GAUGAAGAACGCAGCGAAAUGCGAUAAGAAGUGUGAAUUGCAGAAUUCAGUGAAUCAUCGAAUCUUUGAACGCACAUUGCGCCCCUUGGUAUUCCAUGGGGCAUGCCUGUUCGAGCGUCAUUUGUACCUUCAAGCCUUGCUUGGUGUUGGGUGUUUGUCUCGCCUCUGCGCGCAGACUCGCCUCAAAACAAUUGGCAGCCGGCGUAUUGAUUUCGGAGCGCAGUACAUCUCGCGCUUUGCACUCAGGACGACGACGUCCAAAAGUACAUUUUUACACUCUUGACCUCGGAUCAGGUAGGGAUACCCGCUGAACUUAAGCAUAUCAAUAAACGGAGGA